AAGACUUUAAGUUAAAUAAACUAAAAACCUUCAAAGUUUUAAUUGGGAAUUCCAAGUCUUG
rnacentral:tRNA from 1 species